UACGGAAGGCAGCAGUGGGGAAUAUUGCACAAUGGGCGCAAGCCUGAUGCAGCCAUGCCGCGUGUAUGAAGAAGGCCUUCGGGUUGUAAAGUACUUUCAGUCGUGAGGAAGGUGUUAAGGUUAAUAACCUUAGCAAUUGACGUUAGCGACAGAAGAAGCACCGGCUAACUCCGUGCCAGCAGCCGCGGUAAUACGGAGAGGGCUAGCGUUAUUCGGAAUUAUUGGGCGUAAAGAGCGCGUAGGCUGAUUAGUAAGUUAAAGUGAAAUCCCAAAGCUUAACUUUGGAAUUGCUUUUUAAAACUGCUAGUCUAGAGAUUGAAAGAGGAUAGAGGAAAUUCCUAGUGUAGAGGUGAAAUUCGUAAAUAUUAGGAGGAACACCAGUGGCGAAGGCGUCUAUCUGGUUCAAAUCUGACGCUGAGGCGCGAAGGCGUGGGGAGCAAACGAGGGAUUAGAUACC
rnacentral:rRNA from 1 species